rnacentral:misc_RNA from 1 species
GAUGAAGAACGUAGCAAAAUGCGAUAAGUAAUGUGAAUUGCAGAAUUCAGUGAAUCAUCGAAUCUUUGAACGCACAUUGCGCCCGCUGGUAUUCCGGCGGGCAUGCCUGUUCGAGCGUCAUUUCAACCCUCAAGCCCCCGGGUUUGGUGUUGGGGAUCGGCUCUGCCCUUCUGGGCGGUGCCGCCCCCGAAAUACAUUGGCGGUCUCGCUGCAGCCUCCAUUGCGUAGUAGCUAACACCUCGCAACUGGAACGCGGCGCGGCCAUGCCGUAAAACCCCCGACUUUUAGAAAGUUGACCUCGGAUCAGGUAGGAAUACCCGCUGAACUUAAGCAUAUCAAUAAGCGGAGGA